rnacentral:rRNA from 1 species
AUUGAACGCUGGCGGCAGGCCUAACACAUGCAAGUCGAACGAGUGGCGGACGGGUGAGUAAUGUCUGGGAAACUGCCUGAUGGAGGGGGAUAACUACUGGAAACGGUAGCUAAUACCGCAUACCAUCGGAUUGGCCCAUCUGGGAUUAGCUAGUAGGUGGGGUAACGGCUCACCUAGGCGACGAGACCUAGCUGGUCUGAGAGGAUGACCAGCCACACUGGAACUGAGACACGGUCCAGACUCCUACGGUAGGCAGCAGUGGGGAAUAUUGCACAAUGGGCGCAAGCCUGAUGCAGCCAUGCCGCGUGUAUGAAGAAGGCCUUCGGGUUGUAAAGUACUUUCAGCGGGGAGGCGUUACCCGCAGAAGAAGCACCGUCUAACUCCGUGCCAGCCGCCGCGGUAAUAC